UGUUAUCGUACUGCCAACAAUCAAGUUUAUUUCUAACUGGAACUCCGCAGAUACACUAUCGUUUCAAUCAGAGCUCAAACUGUUUAUUCAACGGUACAAUAGUAUUUUUCUUAAAAUAAAACUUGUUUAAAAAUGCACAGAUUAAUAAUAGCUCUAGUAUUUCUUGUAAGUUUUUCCUUCGUAGCAGCAGUGCCUUUAAAUGGACUGAACAUCCCGUCAGAGUGCAAUGACAACGCUUACUUCGCCGACUGUGAACUCAUAGUGCGCAGCAAGUUCUGCCAACACCGUUACUAUUCUACGUUUUGUUGUAAGUCGUGCAUGAACGCUGGCCAUAUUGAUCCGACAUCAAUAUUUGAAGAAAGGGUGGAGGACAGAGAUCACUGGAAGUAACUUAGUUCCUGCGAAUGACACUACACUAAUAUAAAUUAAACCUUAUAUUAAUUAACUUAUGAGAAACAACUUAAUACAGCAUAAGAAUGUACUUUGAUUCACUUUUUGAUCUUUUUAGAUUAUCUUUAUUAGAUAUAUUAUCAAUUUGAUCUAUGUCAUGUUAUUCACUAAAUUAUAAUAAUGUUAAAUAACAAUAUGUAUAUAUUAGGUUAGAUUUAAGACUCACUACUACACGGUCACAUUAUCUCUGGACCUCGCUGGAACGUGAAGCUCCAUCCCGUACCUCUUUCACCCCUGUUGCGUCAGUACGGUUUGCAGUUUCAUGACCGUUAGGUGUACCUAUGUCGUGAUAUGUUCGUGCUAUAACUGCUUUGCUUUUGUUGUUAAUAGUUCUGUAGUCUGUUAAUUUAUGUAAAAAAAUAUUUUUAUACUUAAUCCAGAUUCAUUCAUUGAUUUCCCAUAAUAAUAAUUAUCAGCACACAACACACAUUAACAUCAAUCUAUAAUACUGACAAAAUAAAUAUUUUUUUAAUAAUUCGUAAUAACAAUAUCCUAGUGAUGCUUGUUUUGCACACCGCGACCGUAACAAACCAACGAUGUGACGUCAUGCAACAGGUACAGAGAUAUCCGGUAACCGGGUAGCAAUCCAUUGUCAUUCUGUCAAUUAUAUUAUUCUCAUAAUUAUAUUUUACUGAAAUAAAACAAAAUAAUGCUGUAACAUAAA